rnacentral:lncRNA from 1 species
ACUGGAGGGGCUGGAGGCCUGCGGCCGGGGGCUCCAGCUCGCCCUCGUUGCGAGGUUCGGCCGGGCGGAUACCCGGGCGAAGAAGCUGCUGUCUCCCCAUUACACAGCUGGGGAAGCUGAGGGCAGCGCCCGGGUGGGGAGGCUUCAGUGCGGCGCGGAAAUCCGCCCUUUGCAGGAGAAAGAGCAGGUGCGAUGAGAGGGGAGAAGGACAGAAAGUUGGACACCUUACGGGGCCCUCUCAUCAGAAUGACCUCAUUCCCACUCCGAGAGACUUGUUGGACUUUUUGUUGAGCCAUUUUUGUGAAGAACCACGUAGGCUCGGGACUGAGACUCGCACAAGGUCACACAGCUGUUGGGUGGCACACAUCUGAGUUUGGAGCCUCGAAGUGUCUCAUUCCGUCGCCUGUCUUCUGCUGCUGCCCUUCGCAGAAUUGCUCUUGUCAGAAUUUAUGGCUGAACUACGAACGGGCACCUUUCAUGGCCUGUCUGUCCAAUACUGGCUGCAUGGAUGUUUCUUUGUCUUUCAUUUAGUUGAAACUCCUGAGGCAGAGAUUGAGUCAUUUCCCUGCCUUCACUGGAAGGGCAGUAAAUGACAUGCAAAAUGCGUGAGGACUUCGUGUGGAAGCGUUUUCCUGCCACUGGUCCUUUUUAUCUGCCUUGUGCCCCCCUGCUAGACGGUCCUCCCCAGCACCUCCUCCUUUUAUCUCAGCCCUAACUUUUAAAGACCAUCCCCUCACUCACUACCUUAACUUUCGUGUUUACUUCCUUUUAUGAACUUCUCUAGGUCGACCGUUUUCACUCUUCGCGGGGCGCUUGUUGUGUGGCCUUUCUGCACCUUUGAUGAAUGCAUUCCCAGAUAUGUUCUCUUCUAGGAUGCCUCUUUGCAUCGCCAGUGGCACCGUGUUUGUACAAGCAGUACAGAUUCCAAAAAAUGUUACUGGUGGGUGAACAUUAUUUCAGCCCGCUAAGAAAGAGGUGGGAGUGAGGGGUUUCCUGGUGGCUGAGCGAGUUAAAGACCUGGCAUUGUCACGGCUGUGUCUCAGUUUCAAUCUCUGACCCAGGAACUUGCACAUGCCAAGGGCACAACUAAAAAAGAGAAAGAGAGGAUUUCCAUCCCCAAAUCAAGCCUGCCUUGUUUAUGCCUCAACCUUUACUUUCCUAUCUCCAUAGUUUUUCUCCACUGUAAUCCUUAGCCUAUACCAUAGACUGUCUAGAUCAUUCAAUAACAUAAAAACAAUAUUUUUCAAUUUGAUGUCUUAGCAGUGGCAACGAUAACAGGUGUGGUGUGAUAAGAUUUACUGAGUCACCCUUCAUCACCUACUGUCAAGCCACAUUCCUACAUUAGGACGGAAAUUUAGGGAUAGAAAAAUAUGAAGGAUAUUUUCCGUCCUAGAUGGAUUAGACUCGGGUAAAACGAAAAAUAUUUGUAAAUAUUUGCAAUACAGCAAGAGGAGUUGGGGAAAUGAUCUUUUAGAAGAAUAAAUUAAGGUUUUUAUUUCCCAGAGAGGACAAAUAAAAUCAUAUUAAUAG